rnacentral:rRNA from 1 species
CCUACGGGUGGCAGCAGUGGGGAAUAUUGGGCAAUGGGCGAAAGCCUGACCCAGCGACGCCGCGUGAAGGAAGAAGGCUUUCGGGUUGUAAACCUCUUUUAGCAGGGAAGAGCAGAUGACGGUACCUGUCGAAUAAGCCACGGCUAACUACGUGCCAGCAGCCGCGGUAAUACGUAGGUGGCAAGCGUUAUCCGGAUUUACUGGGUGUAAAGGGCGGGUAGCCGGUAAGACAAGUCAGAUGUGAAAUCCGGGGGCUCAACCCCCGGACUGCAUUUGAAACUGUUGGUCUUGAGUAUCGGAGAGGUAGGCGGAAUUCCUAGUGUAGCGGUGAAAUGCGUAGAUAUUAGGAGGAACACCAGUGGCGAAGGCGGCCUACUGGACGGCAACUGACGGUGAGGCGCGAAAGCGUGGGGAGCAAACAGGAUUAGAUACCCCAGUAGUC